AGGGUAGCUAGUUGGUCUACUGGAGCUGCUUUCCCUGCAGAAGCUCCUUGCUCCUAAUGGUGACAGUCCUAGCUGCCCUGCAGGAGGCUGGGCUGCAGUGGCCUCAGCAUCCCUGGGCCCUGCCUGCCCUGCUCCUGUGAGCGGCAGGCCCGGGAAGGAAGAGUUAACCAGAAAUGGAGCGGCGCCGCUCCGGGGCAGGCAGCCUCGCUGCAGAACAGAGCAGCGUUCGUGCGAAGGCAAGUCAUUUCCCGAAACACCGCAGACACACGGCCUCGGGCAGCCUAAAACCUUUGGAGACCAAAAUGGCUCGCAGGGGUUGGAAGUAAUAAGCUCCGUGGUGUGGUGCAGGGCUGGCUUACUGAAGUGUGUGCGCCCGAGUCGCUUUUGAGCAGAGCUCUGUGCCAUUCCCGGACGUCGGCAGAAUUCGCCAGGAAGGAACAUGACCUAUUUCCCUACUGGAAAGUCUAAGAGGAUCCUUGGAGACGACUUUCACAACUAGGAGGUAGGGGUCGUCUCCAUUGUAUUUUGAGAGAGAAACAGGAUAUGAGCUGGGUUUUAACAGAAUGUUAUACAUCCAAUCUGUUACGCCUAAUGCAGCCUGCAUAUAAUUAUUACUACUCUGUGUUUACGACAGCAGCAGAAUCGGCUUCCAUCCAACAAAUGACCCAGCAGCAGUGGGCCAGCCGCCACCGAAAUGACAUCUGUUAACUCUUUGUCAAAUGCCCGCUCCUUCUCUCUUUUUCUUCCAAACAGCUCUGUGGUUAAUUAUGACCUGCACGUCUGACACAGUCUUUCGAGUAGAGAGACCUGCUUAGGGGCAGAGAGAAAUCUGGCUCCAGGAAAUUCCCUUCUCUCUCCUUUAAAAAAAAAAAAAAAGAAAAGCCAUAGCAAAUUGUUUUAAAAUAAACAUUCAUUCAGAAC
rnacentral:lncRNA from 1 species